GCUCGAUUAGUGUAGCGGCCAUCACUUCGGAUUCUGAGAACUUCUCGAGCUUCCGACAACCCUGGUUCGAUUCCAGGAUCGAGCU